UUAAUUAAUUUAUAAUUCCACUCAGACUACAAUCUUCAGACAGAGUUCGAGGUGUCUUCGGCGGGCGCGGGCCCGGGGGCAAAGCCCCCCGGCGGCCAGAAUGGCGGGCCCGCCGAAGCAACAAGGUACAAUAAACACGGGUGGGAGGUUGGACCCAGAGGGCCCUCACUCGGUAAUGAUCCUUCCGCAGGUUCACCUACGGAAA
rnacentral:misc_RNA from 1 species